GGGUUGCUGGAAUGAACAAAGAUAAUACCAUAAGGGUAUGUUUGGUUCGCAUUAUGAAAGAUUACUAGGAAUAAAAGAUAUCCGAGAAUCUUAUUCCUAUUCAUCCUAUUACUAAGAAUGUGGAAUUCCUGUAUUUGGUUCGCACGGUAAUAUUAAUUAGCCAUGUUAUUUAAUAUUACAAAAAAUAUACAAUUUAUUUAUUUAUUUAUUUAUUUAAUUUUAGAUAAUGUUACCAAAAAUUUCAACAUCUUUUUAGAAAAAAAGGAGAGAGAGUAUAAGUUAGAGAGAGAGCAUAAUUAAAAAAUAGAAAGAAAAAUAUAGUCAAAAUUAGAGGGAGUGAGAGAGUUGAAAUUUUAGAAAGAGAGAGAGAGAGCUUAGUUUAGAGAGAGAAAAAAAAAGUUGAAUUUUAGAGAGAAAAAUAAAUUUAGAGAGAGAUAUAAGGUUAGAGUGUAAAGAAAAAUAAUAUCAAUUAGCCGGCGGGUAGGAAGAAAGAAAGAGAUUAGAUAUAUUAUGAUUAUCCCAAUCCAUUAAUAUGAGGAUACCCAUCCUCCCUCAAGGGAAUGAGAUUAGUACUUUGGGGUGAAUCUUAUUCCCAAGUGAAUCCAAUAUUACCAAUUAGAUUACUUAGUGCGUUUAGCCAAACACCGUCAUAUUUUUUUAUUCCAAUUGGAUUACUAGAAAUUUUAAAAGAUAGCGCGAACCAAACGCACCCUAACAGUAUCCAACUUCUGUAAGAUUGACAGUUUUUGAAGAAUUAUUAACAAAUUAU
rnacentral:lncRNA from 1 species